rnacentral:lncRNA from 1 species
CUGAAUCAGGGAACUGCUGCUGCUGAUUCAUACUAGAAUGGGGCUGAAGGACAUGAAGAAUUUAGUGGCCAAGCAAAGGACAAUCUGGCUCAUCCUUCAAAGAGGAGGGACCACCCACUGUCAUUUUUUUUUAGUUACAACUACCCACUGCCAUUGAAAGCACAUUACGCUGAAACCAGAUUUGAAUCUGUAGACCCUAAACCACAUGUUCUAUGGGCCCUGGACA